AUGUCCCCAGUAGGUAGAAUACCAAGACUCAGGAAGAAAAGUGAUAUUGGGAUUGCCCCUGAUUAUUCCCACAGACCCAUUUGGAUAAUUUAUGCUUUCUGUCUCUGAAACUCUGUGGGUCAAAGACCCAGAAGUUUUGAACCUCAGAGAGGGAAUGAUUCCACUAGAGGACACAGCAAGAGUAUCACCAACUUUGAAUUCUGACUGCUACCUGGUUACUUGGAGCUGUUGAAUGUGGGAUGUCCCUUAGAUGAGGUGUGUCCUAAGAUUAGGUAGCUUUCUUUGACAGAGGUCAAUGCUGAGGGAGGAACUCGGCUAUGAGCCUUCAGCAAGCCAUGACUCCUGAGGAAAUAAUGGUCUUCAUCUUGAAGAGGGGAUUGGCCAACAACCACAGCAUCCACUACAGUCCAUUCCUUGCAGUGCUGGGCAGUGUACAACUUUUAUGGACAUUUCACCCCAUCUGGGAACAGCUUUCUCAGGAUUCUGGUCUUCUGGUGGAGCGAGAGGACACCCACGGUGGAAGCCAAGAGAGUCAUCUUAAUGAAUGGCAUAUUACAGCCCUUGUGAAUGGAACUUGCAUUGUUUCAUAG
rnacentral:lncRNA from 1 species